CUCGUUCCCUUGUUCUUUUAAUUCCUUCUUUUUAUGUUUUCUCGUUCCCUCAUUCUUUCUUUCAUUUUCCAUUUUCUCGUUUCCCUCAUUCUUUCUAUUCUUUAUUUUUCUUUUUUCUCGUUGCCUCGUUCUUUCUAUUCUUUCAUUUUCUAUUUUCUCGUUCCCUGUUCUUUCUAUUCUUUCAUUCUCUAUUUUCUCGUUCCAUGGUUCUUUCUAUUCCGCCUUUUGUUGUUUUCUCGUUCUUUCGCUCUUUCUAUUCUUUCAGUUUCCAUUUUCUCUUUCCCUCAUUCUUUCUAUUCCUCCUUUUUUUGUAUUCUCAUUCCCAUGUUCUUUCUAUUCCUCCUGUUUUUAUUUUCUCGUUCCUUUGUUCUUUCUAUUUCUCCUUUCUAUGUGUUCUCAUUCCCUCGUUCUUUCUAUUCUUUCAUUUUCUAUUUUCUUGUCCCCUCGUUGUUUCUAUUCUUUCAUUUACUUUUUUCUCGGUCCCUCGUUCUUUGUGAUCCUCUAUUUGCUAUUUUCUCGUUCCCUCGUCCUUUCUAUUACUCCUUUUUCUAUUUUCUUGCUCACUCGUUCUUUCUAUUCUUUCAUUUUCCAUUUUCUCAUUCUCUCGUUCUUUCUUUUCCUCAUUUUUAUGUUUUUUCGUUCCCUCGUCCAUUCUAUUCCUCUUUUUUUUGUAUUCUCGUUCCCUUUUUCUUUCAAUUCCUUCUUUUUAUGUUUUCUCGUUCCCUCAUUCUUUCUGUUCCAUUUUUUCUUUCUUUUUCCCUCAUUCUUUCUAUUCUUUAUUUUUCUUUUUUCUCGUUGCCUCAUUCUUUUCAUUCCUCCUUUCUUUGUUUUCUCGUUCCUUUGUUCUUUUUAUUUCUCCUUUUCGUGUUUUCUCGUUCCCUCGUUCUUUCUAUUCCUCUUUUUUCUACUUUCUCAGUCCCUCGUUCUUUGUAUUCUUUCAUUUUUUAUUUUGUCGUUCCCUCGUUCUUUCUAUUAUUUCUUUUUCUAUUUUCUAGUUCCCUCCUUCUUUCUAUUCUGUAAUUUUGCUAUUUUAUCGUUUCCUCGUUCUUUCUAUUCCUCCUUUUUCUAUUUUAUAGUUCCGUGGUUAUUUCUAUUGUUUAAUUUUCUAUAUUCUCAUUCCCUUUUUCUUUCGAUUCCUCCUUCUUCUAUUUUCUUGUUCCCUCGUUCUUUUUAUUCCUCCUUUUUAUGUUUCCUCAUUCCCUCGUUCUUUCUAUUCCUUCUUUUUCUGUUUUCUCAUUCCCUCAUUCGUUCUAUUCCUUUUUUUUCGUUUCCUCGUUGGUUCUAUUCUUUCAUUUUCUAUUUUCUUGUCCCCUCAUUCUUUCUAUUCUUUCAUUUUCCAUUUUCUCGUUCACUCGUUCUUUCUAUUCCUCUAUUUGCGAUUUUCUCGUUCCCUCGUUCAUUCUAUUCUUUCAUUUUCCAUUUUCUCAUUCUCGCGUUCUUUCUUUUCCUCAUUUUUAUGAUUUCGCGUUCGCUCCGUCUUACUAUUCCUCCUUUUUUUGUAUUCUCAUUCCCUUGUUCUUUCAUUUCUAUUUUUUCGUUCCCUCAUUCUUUCCAUUCCUCCUUUUUUUGUUUUCUUGUUUCUUUGUCUAUCCUAUUUCUCCUUUUCAUGUUUUCUUGUUCCCUUGUUCAUUCUAUUCCUCCUUCUUUAAUAUUCUCGUUCACUCGUUCUUUCUAUUCCUGCUUUUUUUUCUUUCUUGUUCCCUCGUUCUUUCUAUUCUUUCAUUUUCUAUUUUGUUGUUCCCUCAUUCUUUCUAUUCUUUCAUUUGUGACUUUCUCCCUCCCUCGUUCUUUCUAUUCCUCCUUUUUUUGUUCUCUUGUUCCCUUAUUCUUCUCUGCAUCUCAGUUAUGUAUGUUAGUUGGCUGCAUAUUGAAUAGGUAUGUUGUAACAAAGCUAGGUGACGAUGGUCAUCCUUCUUAGCACUCCACACUCAUAACCAGUAUGCUGCGCAGAUCACUCUGGUGCUCUGCUGCUUCCUGGUUCGUGCUUUGUAUCAUGAGGCGGUUUCUCUCUACAGUAGACAAGUGUCGUCUACUCCUCACAGAAAACACUGUGCUGCUAGACUUUGCUACAUAC
rnacentral:lncRNA from 12 species